GGUUAAGCGACUAAGCGUACACGGUGGAUGCCCUGGCAGUCAGAGGCGAUGAAGGGCGUGCUAAUCUGCGAUAAGCGCCGGUAAGGUGAUAUGAACCGUUAUAACCGGCGAUACCCGAAUGGGGAAACCCAGUGUGACUCGUCACACUAUCAUUAACUGAAUCCAUAGGUUAAUGAGGCGAACCGGGGGAACUGAAACAUCUAAGUACCCCGAGGAAAAGAAAUCAACCGAGAUUCCCCCAGUAGCGGCGAGCGAACGGGGAGGAGCCCAGAGCCUGAAUCAGCAUAUGUGUUAGUGGAAGCGUCUGGAAAGGCGCGCGAUACAGGGUGACAGCCCCGUACACAAAAGCGCAUGUGCUGUGAGCUCGAUGAGUAGGGCGGGACACGUGGUAUCCUGUCUGAAUAUGGGGGGACCAUCCUCCAAGGCUAAAUACUCCUGACUGACCGAUAGUGAACCAGUACCGUGAGGGAAAGGCGAAAAGAACCCCGGCGAGGGGAGUGAAAAAGAACCUGAAACCGUGUACGUACAAGCAGUGGGAGCCCCACCACUAAGCCAGUGGUGAACUCCACAUACGCAUCCUUUGCUGAGGAUACGGUUAACGGAGCGAAAGCGACGUUCAACCUCAAAAGAAGCAGAGGGGGCUUAGUGGUGGGGUGACUGCGUACCUUUUGUAUAAUGGGUCAGCGACUUAUAUUCUGUAGCAAGGUUAACCGAAUAGGGGAGCCGGAGGGAAACCGAGUCUUAAU
rnacentral:rRNA from 1 species